UCUUCCCGCGAAGGGAUUUCGGCCGGUAAUGGGGGUUCCGGGGGCUCAGAAGAACGACUUUCUCGGAAGACCGCAACGUGGCUUUAAGGUAGCCGGUUACUACGUUAAUCGUUACUGUUUUACUGUGAGGGUAGAAAUCAUAGGCGUCUUAGGGGAAGUCAAAGACUGACAGUCCGUCAGUGACUGAAUGUUAUUUCGACAUCAGCUUUCGUGAGCCGACUUUAUUUCGACCGAAGUAUGGAGUGAAGGCCAAGACCACGGCUAUACAGCCCGGAUAAAGGAACGACCAUCUAUGGAGUGAAGGUUCACAUUUAUCAUCAGAACUUCACGCGGGAGAAGGGGAGUUGUUAUGAAGUGAGAUCUGUUGUUAAUCUUCUCGUAAACCGUUCAAGUUGGGGACCGAGGGACUCAAACUACUGUGGUGGUCGCAAGGGGGCCGGAAGUUUUGUUGCGCUGCAUGGAAUUGGGAGUUGCUAUGUUGUCCUGAGCAGCAUGGAAGAGGCAACUUUUCCUAGGUAUUUUCCAUGGAUCUUCCUAGAGUGCUCCCAAUCACUUUAAAUAGUAGUAUUGAAGACUGGAGUGAAGCCUUUAUGACUGAGAUGGAUGGCAGAAACGGUGGGUUCAGUCUAAACACAGAACUGAUUAUGGAAAAUUUCGAAUAUCUGCAGGAAGAUUCUAUGGAGACAGAGAAAAAGAUAAAGUGGCUAGAGACAGCAUACAGAACCAGUUGGCUGUAGCGACUAAUUUCCCUGUAAUUGGGGGCUUCCAGAGAGAUUUACAGCUGCAGAGGUCUGCAGACUACUGAAGACACAAAAUACUAUGCAGUAUCAGCAAGGUUUAG